UUGAAGACACUUUGCAUAUGAGCUGCAUGCUUCAGUGCUCAGAUGGUGUUUAUAGAUCUGUGAGUUUAUGAUUUUAUGACUGACAGCUCUCCUUCAUGAUAACAGAUCCAAAAGCAAACAUGACUUUAAUAACCAUCAUUAUUUGGACACUCACAACCUGCAUCUGGAGUUCUGUGGGACAAACUCUGACUCAAUCUAAAGCUCAAACAGUUCAGCCUGAUCAGACUGUCACUAUUCACUGUAAUCAUAAACCAGCAAUAGACUGUAUUAAAACAAAAGGCUCUGAUCAGAAUUGCAUAUCCUGGUACCAUCAGAUUCCUGGAGAAGUUCCUAAACUCCUGAUCUAUGCCACAUCAGACAGAGCUUCAGGUGUUUCUUCUAGAUUUAGUGGCAGUGGAAGUGGAAAUAAAAUUGAUUUUACUCUGACCAUCAGUGGAGUCCAGCCUGAAGAUUCAGGAGUUUAUUACUGUCAGAGUCAACAUAACAAGGGAGUCUCUGGCACCAUAGACUGGGUGUUCACACAGUGUAAAAGCAUCAUACAAAAACCUCUUUAGUUGAGACUUCAGCGCUGCAGCUUUGAGCUUCUGCAGGUGUUGAUGUUGAAGAUCAUUAUUCACUUCACUGACUUUACACACAAACACAGAGACUAUUUAAGGCUGGUGACAUGUUGCUGUUCAUUAUUGUCACAUAUACUCAACACAUACAUUUUUAUAAUAAUACAUUUAAGAAUGUCUCAAUCAUGAAUUACACAUGAAUUCCAAUCCAGUAAAUUACAUCCAAGAUGAAGAUUAUGUGGACAAAGCUUAUGUAAUGAAAAUAACAUGUAAACUAAUAGAAUAAAAUAAAUAAAUAAAUAAAUAAA